CCUAACACAUGCAAGUCGAGGGGUAACAGGAAAGCUUGCUCUUGCUGACGACCGGCGCACGGGUGCGUAACGCGUAUGCAACCUACCUCAUACUGGAGCAUAGCCCUUGGAAACGAGGAUUAAUACUCCAUGGUAUCAUUUUUUCGCAUGUUAGAAUGAUUAAAGAAUUUCGGUAUGAGAUGGGCAUGCGUCCCAUUAGCUAGUUGGUGAGGUAACGGCUCACCAAGGCGACGAUGGGUAGGGGGCCUGAGAGGGUGGUCCCCCACACUGGUACUGAGACACGGACCAGACUCCUACGGGAGGCAGCAGUGAGGAAUAUUGGUCAAUGGAGGCAACUCUGAACCAGCCAUGCCGCGUGAAGGAUGACGGCCCUAUGGGUUGUAAACUUCUUUUAUAUGGGAAGAAACUUAUCUACGUGUAGAUAACUGACGGUACCAUACGAAUAAGGAUCGGCUAACUCCGUGCCAGCAGCCGCGGUAAUACGGAGGAUCCAAGCGUUAUCCGGAUUCAUUGGGUUUAAAGGGUCCGUAGGCGGAUUUUUAAGUCAGUGGUGAAAGCCGGCAGCUCAACUGUCGAACUGCCAUUGAUACUGGAAAUCUUGAGUACAAAUGAAGUAGGCGGAAUGAGUCAUGUAGCGGUGA
rnacentral:rRNA from 1 species